rnacentral:rRNA from 1 species
AUUGAACGCUGGCGGCAGGCCUAACACAUGCAAGUCGAACAGUAACAGGAAGCUUGCUUCCGGGUGACGAGCGGCGGACGGGUGAGUAAUGUCUGGGAAACUGCCUGAUGGAGGGGGAUAACUACUGGAAACGGUAGCUAAUACCGCAUAACGUCGCAAGACCAAAGAGGGGGACCUUCGGGCCUCUUGCCAUCAGAUGUGCCCAGAUGGGAUUAGCUAGUAGGUGAGGUAAUGGCUCACCUAGGCGACGAUCCCUAGCUGGUCUGAGAGGAUGACCAGCCACACUGGAACUGAGACACGGUCCAGACUCCUACGGGAGGCAGCAGUGGGGAAUAUUGCACAAUGGGCGCAAGCCUGAUGCAGCCAUGCCGCGUGUAUGAAGAAGGCCUUCGGGUUGUAAAGUACUUUCAGCGAGGAGGAAGGCAUCGUACCUAAUACGUACGGUGAUUGACGUUACUCGCAGAAGAAGCACCGGCUAACUCCGUGCCAGCCGCCGCCGUAA